rnacentral:tRNA from 1 species
UGCCCGGGACGGGUUUCGAUCCCGUGAUCUCCAGAUGUCUCAGGAUUUCGGCGCACUGGGAUAGUUUCCCUAUGAGUCUGGCGCCCUCCCGACUAGGCCACCCGGGC